rnacentral:rRNA from 1 species
CCCUGGAGUAACGGGCGAGCGAAAAGGGAGGAGCCCAGCGCCGAAUCCCCGAUCUUACGGGUCGCGGGAAAUGUGGCGUUUAGGAGUGAGCGUGCCGAGAUCGGGACCCGCAGCAAGUCCCCCUGACCGGGGCCUUCCCAGAGCGGGUGCGAGGCCCAUAGCCGCGGAGCCCGUCUCGGAUGCGAUCUCCUGGGAGUCGGGUUGCUUGGGAGUGCAGCCCUAAUCGGGUGGUAAACUCCACCUAAGGCUAAAUACUGCCGUGAGACCGAUAGCAAACAAGUACCGUGAGGGAAAGUUGCAAAGAACUUUGAAGAGAGAGUUCAAGAGUACGUGAAACUGCUCAGAGGUAAACGGGUGGGCCCUCGAAAUCCUGUGGCGGGAGGAUUCAGUCUGGAUUUGGCGUCGCGCUGGUCGGAAAUCUGGAAGGGCUUCCCUCGAACGGGGGCGUCCGACCGCCAACUUCCCCUAAGGCCGACGCCUUUGUCUCCCGCUCUGAGGACGCCGCAGCCGGUCUGGCAGUGCCAACGUGACGGCCUGGAAGUCCGGGCGACG